UUCGCGAAGAACCUUACCAGGUCUUGACAUCGUGCGCAUAGUAUAGAGAUAUAUGAAGUCCUUCGGGACGCAUAGACAGGUGGUGCAUGGUUGUCGUCAGCUCGUGUCGUGAGAUGUCGGGUUAAGUCCCUCAACGAGCGCAACCCUUACGAUUAGUUGCUACGCAAGAGCACUCUAAUAGGACUGCCGUUGACAAAACGGAGGAAGGUGGGGAUGACGUCAAAUCACCAUGCCCCUUAUGACCUGGGCUACACACGUACUACAAUGGUGAUCAACAGAGGGAAGCAAAGCGGCGACGCGGAGCAAAUCCCUAAAAGUCAUCUCAGUUCGGAUCGCAGGCUGCAACUCGCCUGCGUGAAGUUGGAAUUGCUAGUAAUCGCAGAUCAGAAUGCUGCGGUGAAUACGUUCCCGGGUCUUGUACACACCGA
rnacentral:rRNA from 1 species